CUUAUCCAGGCAGCACACUUACUACAAUUGGAACAAUACACAAAAGGUUAGCUUGGGUCCCAGGCAAGGAUGUCACACAAAUUUGUGAAGCCAUUCAUAUUUUU
rnacentral:snRNA from 1 species